rnacentral:rRNA from 1 species
GAUGAACGCUAGCUACAGGCUUAACACAUGCAAGUCGAGGGACCGGCGCACGGGUGAGUAAAACGGAGCCAACCUGCCCUUUACUCGGGGAUAGCCGUUCGAAAGAGAGAUUAAUACCCGAUACAAAGGAUGGGGAUGCGGUCCAUUAGGUUGUUGGUGAGGUAACGGAUCAACAAGCUCUCGAUGGAUAGGGGGUCUGAGAUGAAGGGCCCCCACAUUGGAACUGAGGCACGGUCCAUACUCCUACGUGAGGCCGCAGUGGGUAAUAUUGGGCAACGGGCGCUGACCUGAACCAGCCAUGUAGCGUGAAGGAUGAAGGCUUAUGUUUCUUACCCUUCUUUUAUAUAUGUAUAUGUAUUAUAUGAAUAAUAAUCGGCGAACUCCGUGCCAGCAGCCGCGGUAAUUC